CAUUACUCCGGCUAUAGUUCGGCGAAGGGACUUCAUAUCUCACCACUUGCUUCGAGUUCCUGUUGUACUUCUUGUCGCCGGUUCAGAGGAGUUCUCUUUCACCCUCCCUCCCUUUCUCUCUCUCUCUAGGGCACUCUUUCCGCAGUUGCUAGUGGCAUCGCAGAAUGGAGCUAUGGAAGAAGAAUCUACCGACCCUUCUUUGCGGCGUGCUGCUGAUGAUGAUGAUGACAGCGCUUACCUCGGAAGCUCGGGAUCAAAAAGAAGGUUGUCCUACGGAAGUGGCUGGCGAUGACCCGAUCAAGUCCUGGCCAGACGGCAGACUGAAAGCUGUUGGGCUGUGUGAACGCCCCAGCACAUGGGGACCACUAGUGGCAAAUGACACGCGCCACUUGACGAUAACCCCUAAGCUGGGCAUAACCGGGAGCAAUCGAUUGACAAUUGCCGCCUCCAUUAUCUUGACAGACGACUCGCCGCCUGCAGUGCGAGCAAACAUCAAUGUGUUUGCGAAAGUCGCAUUCCUCCAAAACCGGUAUAUUCGUAGAACAGAUUGCUAUGAGCUGAGCAAGCAGGCAAGCAUGGGCAUGAUGAUCCACUCCUCACGGCAUAUCAAGCGGGAGGUGGUCAUUCCUAAGGGAACAACCUCGGCAGUCAUAUGGAUACAAGCUGG